AAUUGUUAAAAGAAUGAAUUGGCAAGUACAUACUGUACAUGUUUGUCAUGUCAUUAUGAUGAAGUCUUGGACACCCCCCCCCCUUUCAUCUAACAUGCAGUUUUAUUAAAGAACUAUUAAAGUGUCAUGUCUCGAGAUGUACUUCACUUUUAUAUGCUAUUUAUGAUACAAAUAUUGUUUUUUUUAUUUGAGUUUGAUAUUUACUCUUGCGUGUUAGUAUAAUAAUUGACAUGCUUGGUAACAGCGGAAAUACUUUUUUUACCCAUACCCUACUUUUUUAUGAGUAUGCCAAAGAACAAUAUUUCAAAGUGUGGCAUGAAAUCUGGUAGUCAUGGAGAAGAGAUUAAGAACAGGCCUUUAGAGCCAGAUCAAUAUAGUUGAACAAAAUGAGAUUUCAAAACUUUUUUUAGAAGUUUAUUUCAGUAAGGUGAUUCAGAGAAAUUAAAGUAAUUUUGGAACACAGCAUGCAUGUUGUAUUGUCCAGGUAGCGGUAAAUUUUUAACAUUGAGAAACCAAGUUGCCAAUUUGAGAUUUGUAUACAUGUCGUGUUCUUAUUUUUCAAAGUGCCCUUUAAUACAUGUACUUCUCAUUCCUUGUCGAAAUUUCCUUCAAACUUUUAUGCUCAUUUUUAUCUUUUUAUUCUCCCUUCACAUAAAUCUCAUUAUUACUAAAGUAUGAUCCCUGAAUAAAUGGUAAGCGGAUUUAGGGACACUUGUAAAAUUUACUAAUGCACAUACUUUAAUUUUAAAACUCAAAAUUUAAAAUUCAAUCUUAUCUUUAAUGUCAUUCCUUUCAAUAAAAUUCAAAAUUAUCUAUGAACAGUUUUUGUAUUUUAUGGACUAGCUACAACAGUUUAGGAAACAUUUGCUACAUUGAAGUUAAGGCAUAGUGGCAUACACGUCUGUAUUAUUUCAUGUGACAGUAGACACCAAAGUAAUUUAGAGCUUAAAUCGAAUGUAUAUAUAGUUCAGUGGUGGUAUUUGAUUUUCAAAUGAUAUUCAAAUAUUUUGCCAAAAAUCUAUAUGCAUGUAUGUUACAAGCUCUUAUAUCAGCAGUUUAGGAAAAUAU